rnacentral:rRNA from 1 species
UACAGAGGGGGCAAGCGUUGUUCGGAAUUACUGGGCGUAAAGGGCGCGUAGGCGGCCCGCUAAGUCGAACGUGAAAUCCCCGGGCUCAACCCGGGAACUGCGUCCGAUACUGGCAGGCUUGAAUCCGGGAGAGGGAUGCGGAAUUCCAGGUGUAGCGGUGAAAUGCGCAGAUAUCAGGAGGAACACCGGUGGCGAAGGCGGGUCUCUGGGCCGUAACUGACGCUGAGGAGCGAAAGCGUGGGGAGCGAACAGG